GCCUCUAAAAGCUCUGUCCCAAUAUUAUUUUUCAUGCUCGUAAUUAAUUAUCUAAAUCUAAAAAAUAAAAAGAAAGAAAAUGAGCUAGACAGCCCAGUAAGUAACAAAUAUUUUAACUAGAUAUUUCAGAUAUUUAUAUAAUUUUCAAGAACAAUGCUAUGAAUAAACAUAAAAAUAUAUUUCAUACUGAUUCAAUGCAAAUCUAAUCUUUUCAAAUAUUCACAUA
rnacentral:lncRNA from 1 species